CCCUUAGAUGUCCUGGGCCGCACGCGUGCUACACUGACGCAUACAACGAGUAUUUCCAGCUCCGAGAGGUAGCUGGUAAUCAGCAAUAUGCGUCGUGAUGGGGAUAGAUCUUUGGAAUUAUUGAUCUUGAACGAGGAAUGCCUAGUAAUCGUAGGUCAUCAGCCUGCGAUGAUUACGUCCCUGCCCUUUGUACACACCGCCCGUCGCUCCUACCGAUUUCGAGUGGUUCGGUGAACCUUUCGGACCGGCAAUGCCUCGUGUUGCGCCGGAAAGUCAAGUAAACCAUAUCACUUAGAGGAAGGAGAAGUCGUAACA
rnacentral:rRNA from 1 species